rnacentral:sRNA from 1 species
GCAUUGGCAGCUCCUGGGUCACAGGUCACCCCACAGGGCUCCCAGAGAUCCCUAGGGUCAGGAGCUGGGUUCACCUGGGUAGCCUGGAGGGUGGCAGUGUGGGCCUUGGGUAACAGCUGCCCAGCGCCUGGAUACCUGUGCCAUGUACCCCCAGGCCGGGCCACCCACCUGCAGACCUCAUCCGCCAACGGGAGAUGAAGUGGGUGGAGAUGACCUCACACUGGGAGAAAACCAUGUCCCGGCGGUACAAGAAGGUAAAGAUGCAGUGCCGGAAAGGCAUCCCGUCUGCUUUGCGCGCCCGGUGCUGGCCCCUGUUGUGUGGGGCUCAUGUGUGCCAGAAGAACAGCCCUGGCACCUAUCAGGAGCUGGCAGAGGCCCCUGGAGACCCACAGUGGAUGGAGACCAUUGGCAGGGACCUGCAUCGUCAGUUUCCUCUGCAUGAGAUGUUUGUGUCACCUCAGGGCCACGGGCAGCAGGGGCUCCUGCAGGUGCUCAAGGCCUACACCCUGUAUCGACCGGAGCAGGGCUACUGCCAGGCCCAGGGGCCCGUGGCUGCUGUGCUGCUCAUGCACCUGCCCCCAGAGGAAGCCUUCUGGUGCCUGGUGCAGAUCUGUGAGGU